GCAAAACGCGAAGAACCUUACCAGGUCUUGACAUCCCGCUGCCCGCUCUAGAGAUAGAGUUUUCCCUUCGGGGACAGCGGUGACAGGUGGUGCAUGGUUGUCGUCAGCUCGUGUCGUGAGAUGUUGGGUUAAGUCCCGCAACGAGCGCAACCCUUGAUCUUAGUUGCCAGCAUUCAGUUGGGCACUCUAAGGUGACUGCCGGUGAUAAACCGGAGGAAGGUGGGGAUGACGUCAAAUCAUCAUGCCCCUUAUGACCUGGGCUACACACGUGCUACAAUGGACGGUACAGAGGGUCGCAACCCCGCGAGGGUGAGCAAAUCCCAUAAAACCGUUCUCAGUUCGGAUUGUAGGCUGCAACUCGCCUACAUGAAGCCGGAAUCGCUAGUAAUCGUGGAUCAGCAUGCCACGGUGAAUACGUUCC
rnacentral:rRNA from 1 species